rnacentral:rRNA from 1 species
UCAGGAAUAGUCGGCAAUGGGCGAAAGCCUGACCGCGCGACACCGCGUGUAGGAAGAAGCUCGAAAGAGUGUAAACUACUGUGGUAGAGAAAGAAGGUCCGAUGUAAGUCGGACUUGACGGUACUCUACUAGAAAGAAGCCGCUAACUGCGUGCCAGAAGCGUCGGUAAUACGUGGGCUUCAAGCGUUAUCCGGUUUUACUGGGCGUAAAGGGUCGUGUAGGUGGUACGUUAAGUUAUCUUUUAAAUUCCGGGGCUCAACUUCGGAAUUGGAGAUAAUACUAGCAUACUAGAGUUUUCUUGACGGUAAAUGGAACUUAGGGAGGAGUAGUGAAAUGCGUUGAUACCCUAGGGAACACCAGUGGCGAAGGCGAUUUACUGGAAGAUAACUGACACUGAGACACGAAAGCUAGGGGAGCGAAGCAGAUUAGAGACCUGCGUAGUCCUAGCCCUAAACGAAUGCUUGCUAGCUGUAUCCUUCCGAUUUAUCGGUAGGGUAUGGCGAAGGUAACCCGUUAAGCAAGCCGCCG